rnacentral:rRNA from 1 species
AUGGCGGCGACGGGCAAAACCAGCAGCACGGUGGUUGCAAUGUCCACCCUGGCUCUAGCGGCGAGCCUCGUCCUCCUCCUCGCCGUCUCCACAGAGGCGGCCUGCCCCAGCAAGAGCAAACCAACGCCGAGCGCACCGAUGGUGACGGGCGGGAGCGGGAGCGGGAGCGGCGGAGGUAAGUGCCCGGUGGACGCGCUGAAGCUGGGGGUGUGCGCGGACGUGCUGGGCCUAGGCGACGGGCUGACGAACCUGAUGGCAGGCUCCUGGUCGACGGCGUCGUCGGGGAAGAAGCCGUGCUGCGAGCUCGUCGACGGCCUCGCCGACCUGGACGCCGCCGUCUGCCUUUGCACCGCCAUCAAGGCCAACGUGCUGGGCGUCGUCGACGUCGGCCUGCCCCUCCAGCUCGGCCUCCUCGUCAACCACUGCGGCAGGAAGCUCCCGGCUGGCUUCCAGUGCCCUAACUGA